rnacentral:rRNA from 1 species
UACGUAGGGGGCAAGCGUUUGUCCGGAAUUAUUGGGCGUAAAGAGCGUGUAGGCGGUCCGGUAAGUCAGCUGUGAAAGUCAAGGGCUCAACCCUUGAAUGCCGGUUGAUACUGUCGGGCUAGAGUCCGGAAGAGGCGAGUGGAAUUCCCGGUGUAGCGGUGAAAUGGCGCAGAUAUCGGGAGGAACACCAAUGGCGAAGGCGAGC